GGGGGCGACCUGGUUUCGACGUGGGUUGCAAAGCAGCGCAGGGCAUACCGAGGACUGGUUACCUCGUAAAUACAUCCAGAAAUCAAUAACUGCAAACGAUAACUCGUACGCACUCGCAGCUUAAUUGCUGCUAGCUCUACACUACCUCGCCUCUGGGGUGGGCCGCAAGGCAAGUAGAGUCAUUUACAGAGGCUAGGACUCAACCGGGUUACUUGGUUGCUUCCGAAAUUUAAGGUAACUCGCUGGUACGCAGGGUGCACAUCCCCGUCGUGCCGGUCAAAUUAAAUGAUAGUGCUAAGUAUGUAGAACUGUCUGUAGAGUGCUUGCGGACGCGGGUUCGAUUCCCGCCGCCUCCACCA
rfam:Massilia sp. Leaf139 contig_7, whole genome shotgun sequence.